UGGAGAGACCCUGGGGGUAUGCUUCAAAGGAGAAUGUGUUUCAUUGAUUUAAUUGUCUUCUAGAUUUUGGUUUGUGUACCCAGAUUUGCCUUUGCCUCCACCACUGUGAUAUGGAAGUCGUCUAUUCCUCUAUUCCACAAAUGUGUGUUGUGUACCUACUAUGUGUCAGGCAGUAUGCAAGACACUGUGGAAAUGAGAGCAAGCCAGAGACACACAGCUCCGGCCCUCACGGGGCUUCCAGUGUGGUGGACGAGACUGAAGCUAAACAAGUAAUUGUGCAGAACUUUAAAGGUAAAGACUCUGGAGUCAGACCUCUGGCCUCUGUUCUCUUGGUCCCUCACUCAUAGACUGUUGACUUCAGGCAAACUAUUCCAACUCUCUGAGCCUCAGUUCCUUACCUGCGAAAUGGAAAUAGCACCUGCCCUAUGAAGUUAUUGGGAGGAUGAAGUGAGAUUACCCACAUAAAAUACUUCACUCAGUGUCUGACAGGAAUCAACGGGAGAACCGGGCAAGCAAAGCACUCCAAAAGCACUUCAAUAUGAGAACGUCUGUCUGUUCUUCAUUUAUUGCCAUUUAAGCUCUGGCUUGGAGUCUGAGUCUCUCCCUUUCUUAUCUGUAUCUGAGUCAGGAUGGCAAGGCAAGCCGCAUCUUGCUAAAGAAUCAAGGAGGGACAGGCU